AGCAACCAAGGGGACGCAACUCUGCCCUGCCAAGGAGUGCGCCUGUGCCAAGUGUUUGCAAAUGAAAAUAUAAGAGGAGAUUAAUGAUGGGACAUUGGCCAGAGGCCUGGCUAAGUGGAGGAAGAGGGCCCAGAGGCAAUGGGGUGGAUGCAAUUUUGCUAUGACGGGCCGGGAGUUUGACACCCCUUUGUUAAUCAAACAAAAAGAAAUGUAAACUCCACAUUAUAUUAAACAGAGCAACUACUGCAAGGGCUCUAUGAACUGUUGGUCAACUAUCUGAAGACCUGAAUUUGCGAACUCCUAAUUGGAAAGGCAGCAGAAUCUAGCCUGAAGGAGAACUUACAAAAUGUAUAUUGCUUAAACAAGACUCAAUGAGUCAAGAGAAUAUGCAAUUCCUGCAUCACUGACAUGGCUGCAAGAAGAAGAUAGAAUCCCUUUCCUUCCCCUUCCCCUUCCCCUUCCCUUUCCUUUCCUUUCCUUUGCUUUCCUCCUCCUCCUCC